GUUGUAUGGUUAAGUGACUAAGCGUACAUGGUGGAUGCCUUGGCAGUCAGAGGCGAUGAAGGACGUACUAACCUGCGAUAAGCUGUGAGAAGUCGGUAAGAGACGCUAUUACUCACAGAUUUCCGAAUGGGGAAACCCACCCGAGAUAACUCGGGUAUCUGUUACUGAAUACAUAGGUAACAGAGGCGAACCGGGAGAACUGAAACAUCUAAGUACCCCGAGGAAAAGAAAUCAACCGAGAUUCCCUCAGUAGCGGCGAGCGAACGGGGAUUAGCCCUUAAGCAUCUUGGAAGUUAGUGGAACGGUCCUGGAAAGGCCGGCGAUACAGGGUGAUAGCCCCGUACACGAAAACAACCUUGAUGUGAAAUCGAGUAGGGCGGGACACGUGACAUCCUGUCUGAAUAUGGGGGGACCAUCCUCCAAGGCUAAAUACUCCUGACUGACCGAUAGUGAACCAGUACCGUGAGGGAAAGGCGAAAAGAACCCCUGUGAGGGGAGUGAAAUAGAACCUGAAACCGUGUACGUACAAGCAGUGGGAGCCCUUCGGGGUGACUGCGUACCUUUUGUAUAAUGGGUCAGCGACUUACAUUUUGUAGCGAGGUUAACCGUAUAGGGGAGCCGUAGGGAAACCGAGUCUUAACUGGGCGUCUAGUUGCAAGGUGUAGACCCGAAACCGGGUGAUCUAGCCAUGGGCAGGUUGAAGGUUGAGUAACAUCAACUGGAGGACCGAACCCACUAACGUUGCAAAGUUAGGGGAUGACCUGUGGCUGGGGGUGAAAGGCCAAUCAAACUCGGAGAUAGCUGGUUCUCCCCGAAAGCUAUUUAGGUAGCGCCUCGGACGAAUACUACUGGGGGUAGAGCACUGUUUGGGCUAGGGGGUCAUCCCGACUUACCAACCCCAUGCAAACUCCGAAUACCAGUAAGUAAUAUCCGGGAGACACACGGCGGGUGCUAACGUCCGUCGUGAAGAGGGAAACAACCCAGACCGCCGGCUAAGGUCCCAAAGUUCUGGUUAAGUGGGAAACGAUGUGGGAAGGCUCAGACAGCUAGGAUGUUGGCUUAGAAGCAGCCAUCAUUUAAAGAAAGCGUAAUAGCUCACUAGUCGAGUCGGCCUGCGCGGAAGAUGUAACGGGGCUCAAACCAGGCACCGAAGCCGCGGAUUCACACUUAUGUGUGAGUGGUAGGGGAGCGUUCUGUAAGUCUGCGAAGGUGUAUCGAGAGGUAUGCUGGAGAUAUCAGAAGUGCGAAUGCUGACGUAAGUAACGAUAAAGGGGGUGAAAAGCCUCCUCGCCGGAAGACCAAGGGUUCCUGUCCAACGUUAAUCGGGGCAGGGUGAGUCGACCCCUAAGGCGAGGCCGAAAGGCGUAGUCGAUGGGAAGCAGGUUAAUAUUCCUGCACGACUUGUAAUUGCGAUGGGGGGACGGAGAAGGCUAGGUGGGCCAGGCGACGGUUGUCCUGGUGAAAGUGCGUAGGUGGUGUUUCUAGGCAAAUCCGGAGACACAACACUGAGACACGAGACGAACACACUACGGUGUGGAAGCCAUUGAUGCCCUGCUUCCAGGAAAAGCCUCUAAGCUUCAGAUUACAAGUCAUCGUACCCCAAACCGACACAGGUGGUCGGGUAGAGAAUACCAAGGCGCUUGAGAGAACUCGGGUGAAGGAACUAGGCAAAAUAGAACCGUAACUUCGGGAGAAGGUUCGCUCUUGACAGUGAAGUCCCUUGCGGAUGGAGCAGUUGGGAGUCGCAGUGACCAGAUGGCUGGGACUGUUUAUCAAAAACACAGCACUCUGCAAACACGAAAGUGGACGUAUAGGGUGUGACACCUGCCCGGUGCCGGAAGGUUAAUUGAUGGGGUUAGCGCAAGCGAAGCUCUUGAUCGAAGCCCCGGUAAACGGCGGCCGUAACUAUAACGGUCCUAAGGUAGCGAAAUUCCUUGUCGGGUAAGUUCCGACCUGCACGAAUGGUGUAACCAUGGCCAUGCUGUCUCCACCCGAGACUCAGUGAAAUCGAAUUCGCCGUGAAGAUGCGGUGUACCCGCGGCUAGACGGAAAGACCCCGUGAACCUUUACUACAGCUUGGCACUGAACAUUGAACCUACAUGUGUAGGAUAGGUGGGAGGCUUUGAAGGCGUGACGCCAGUUGCGCUGGAGCCGUCCUUGAAAUACCACCCUUGUAUGUUUGAUGUUCUAACGCAGGGCCCUGAAUCGGGCUCGCGGACAGUGCCUGGUGGGUAGUUUGACUGGGGCGGUCUCCUCCCAAAGAGUAACGGAGGAGCACGAAGGUUGGCUAAUCCUGGUCGGACAUCAGGAGGUUAGUGCAAUGGCAUAAGCCAGCUUAACUGCGAGACGGACAGGUCGAGCAGGUACGAAAGUAGGUCAUAGUGAUCCGGUGGUUCUGAAUGGAAGGGCCAUCGCUCAACGGAUAAAAGGUACUCCGGGGAUAACAGGCUGAUACCGCCCAAGAGUUCAUAUCGACGGCGGUGUUUGGCACCUCGAUGUCGGCUCAUCACAUCCUGGGGCUGAAGUCGGUCCCAAGGGUAUGGCUGUUCGCCAUUUAAAGUGGUACGCGAGCUGGGUUCAGAACGUCGUGAGACAGUUCGGUCCCUAUCUGCCGUGGGCGUUGGAUGAUUGAAGGGAGUUGCUCCUAGUACGAGAGGACCGGAGUGAACGAACCUCUGGUGUUCGGGUUGUCACGCCAGUGGCACUGCCCGGUAGCUAAGUUCGGAAUCGAUAACCGCUGAAAGCAUCUAAGCGGGAAGCGAGCCCUGAGAUGAGUCAUCCCUGACCCCUUGAGGGUCCUAAAGGGCCGUUGGAGACCACAACGUUGAUAGGUGGGGUGUGUAAGCGCGGCGACGUGUUGAGCUAACCCAUACUAAUUACCCGUGAGGCUUAACCAUACAACACCCAAGAAGUGUU
rnacentral:rRNA from 1 species